AUGAACGCUGGCGGCGUGCCUAACACAUGCAAGUCGAGCGGGGGUGUGGAGUAGUUUACUAUGAAGCAUCUUAGCGGCGGACGGGUGAGUAACGCGUGGGCAACCUGCCCUAUGCAGGGGGAUAACAUAUCGAAAGGUGUGCUAAAACCGCAUAAAGCUUAAGAAUCGCAUGAUUUUCAAGCCAAAGAUUUAUCGGCAUAGGAUGGGCCCGCGUCUGAUUAGCUAGUUGGUGAGGUAAAGGCUCACCAAGGCGACGAUCAGUAGCCG
rnacentral:rRNA from 1 species